GGCAGUGGAUACGUCUAGGCCGGUGAGCAUGAGCACAUCGGCAAGAGUGGGAGAAGCAGGGCCAUGACCAAAAACAAAGGCAUUUAGUGUAUCUGACCAGAAAUAUGAUGCAGCUAUCAGGAGUGAUUCAUUCCUAUGCAUAUCGGCAAUGGACAACCUAAUGCAUUGGUUCAGUUUUCGCUCACCCCACUGAACCUCAUUUGAAUGGCUGACUCUCAAGAACCAAUCUUUCCAUCCUACCGUAGGAUUGGGCCAGGAACGGAAGGUAUCCUUCCACAGAUCCAGAGAAAAAUUCUCGGCUGUAAAAGGGAUUCUGUUUGUUUCUGCAUUAAUAAGAUCGGUGGGAUCUGGGUCCCCUAACGGACCAAGACAUUGGAGGUGUGGCUGAUCGGUAGGGAUGACAAUUUUAUUGGACAGAUCCUAAUGGUUUUGAAGCUAAAAGAAGAAGAAAGAAAGAAAAAGAAAAAUAUUCAGUAAAGUAAAUUGCGAAUGAACAGGGAUACAGUAAAAGCACAAGAGGUGGAAUGAAGAACUAACCUCAGGAACGGUGAAGUUGAUGGCCAUCUCCUCACAAAAAGGAUGAUCGAAGGCUUCGAGGUUGGUGAGGAAGGGGCUUUGUUGGAGUUCUUGGAGAUCUCGAACAGCGCCGCUAUCAGGA
rnacentral:lncRNA from 1 species